CAGCUUAGCACAAUAUAUUAUGGUAUAGUAUAGUAUUGAAUGACACAGUGUUGUGUAGUAUGGCAUAGUCUAGUGUUGGAAUAUUAGCCACCGUUGAGUAUAGUAGCCACAGCUGCGCUGUGGCUACUAUUCAGUUGAAGCCACAGGGCAGUUGUGGCUACCCUGUGGCUACAGGGCACAGAAGUGAGAUUAGGAAAAAAAUAUUGUGCACACUGAGAGGAUAUGAUAAAAAAUUAUACUAUGUAAUUAUAUCCUAUAACAUCACUACAAUAGGAUUGUACAGUCUAUUGUACUGUGGUGAAAAAUAGUUGUAUACAACAUGAUCAAAUGGAAAAAUGUACUACAUACAUGGUAUACCAUUUCUUGGAUUCUUUUGGUUAGAAUAGUGUAAAAAUAAUUAAAAUACUAUAAUAUUUUAGCUGCAGUUCUUGCAGAGUGCUUUAUCUAGUCGAACGGACUCCAAAGCGCUUCACACUACUUUCAGUCACUCUCCCAUUGACAAGCUACUGGACUGUAGCUGCAGCCACAGCUACCCUGGAGCAGACUGACAAGCAAGGCAAGGUGGGUGAAGUGUUUGCCGAGGGACACUGAAGCUCCUCCCUCCGUAACCACCAUGGUCCCCACAUAGACCUGCUUUACACAGACAAUGGUAGAUAUUUUUGGUUAAUUACUAACAAGUUUAUUAAAUAAAUCAAUCUGAAGAAAGGGCCUUUAUUGUGACUGCUGUAGCUGCCUGGCUUCCACUCUGGUUCUGGCUGACUUGACAAAUCUCCCCUCGCAGAGGCUGUUCAUGUUGCUGCGUGGGGGUGUUGUGGAGGCGCACUGCACAUCUGGACUGCGGAAAAACUUCAGACAGGAAUCCUGACGUGGUCAGACGUGGAAAGACAGAAAGACAGACGGAUGUUCUGCUGCAAUUAUUAUUAUUAUUAUUAUUAUUAUUAUUAUUAUUAUUAUUAUUAUUAUUAUUAUUAUUAUUAUUAUUAUUAAUAGUAGUAGUAGUAGUAGUAUUGGUGGAGGAUUUUCCCCCGUACUCAGCAAUUUUCCUACCCAUCAGUGUAUGGGAUAUAAAUGUAUAGGUCGUAAUUAUUAUAUUUACAAGGCUCUGAGUAUUUUUUGUAUUAUUAUUGGGGUUUUUUUAAAUAAAAGUUGUGUUCAAAAAUCCUCUCUGCUUUAUUGGACUCUUAGUAAACAGAAAACACCUCUGUUGCCUCACAACCUAUAAUUAAUUGUUGUAUUUUUCAGCCACUAAAAGCAAAGUGGAGCUGUUUCACCUGCCAAUAAGAGUGCACUUUGGUUGUAAAGUUACCAUGGUAACACAGCAAUAGAAGCAACUUCAGAGGAGGUGGAACAAGGAAGGGGUAUGUGUUCCUAAUGCUACAUCGAUGAACGAGCCUCAAGGGGUAAAUAGUUACAACUGAUCGUACUAGGGAGGUCCGGUUAAAGGUGAUGAAGGAAAAAUAAGAAAAUGCUACGGCACAAAAAGGGGAAAUAAAUCAGGUGCAUUUUGCAUCCAAACUGUUUAAAAUCUUGCAGUCUUUGAGUGGUCCCAGAACUAGUCUGCAUACCAACAUAUUAGAAUUAAAUCAGAGACCAUCUGUUAGAAGCUAAAACCCAAAAUAGGUUAUGAAGAGCACAAUGGUCUCCAUCUUAGCAAAUAUGCAACAGAAUGACAGAAAGACAGAAUUGUGAUUGAAAAACCACAGUCCUCAGAGCUGCAGUUUCCAAGCUUCUGCCUCACAGAGCAUCCCUGCCCCAGAACUACCCCACUCUUCUCUGUCAGACUAGCCAGCAGCAAUUAGCAAACACCAGGUAGAACUGCAUGUCAGUUGAGCUCAGUGUAGGAGCUACUUGAAAGAUUUUUAAAAGGUUAAUAGAGGAACCAUGUUGGGAUGAUUUCCUGAAAGCAGAGUUUCAGAUAGACAGACAGAGGUCCAUUUGCAAAGUUACAAUUCUUUCAAGUCAUAUUUCAUAUAUUUAGAAUUUCUACAACAACUGAAGGUAACAUAGUUACUUGGCUGUGCUAUGAAAUGGCACUAUGUGGCCGGAAAACACAUAACACUGCCAUACUGCCCCAUUAAGUCUUCCCAAUAAGACUCUGCCCUCUCUCUGUCUCAGUGCAGUGGUGAUAGGCACAAAGCCAAACUCAAACCUGCCGCCAUCAAGCAGGCAAAGACAAUGGAAGAGUUGAUGUUACAUCUGAUGAAACCACUGGAUGUUUGGGGUAAUAUCUAUAGGUCAGACGAGACCAAAGCAGAGCACCAUGUCUGGACCAGCAGCUCAAACACCUGUCAGGGUGGUGGCAUGGUGCUGAGGAUCUGGGCUACCCUACUGACACGGGGUCGAUCAUGAACGGCAAUAAAUAUGACACUAUAAUACAGUCACAUUUAAGACAAUCAUACAUCCAGUUCAUGCCAGUUCAGCACAGAAACACACCGGAAAUGCAAACAUGCACAUAAGAGCUUCACAACAUUUCCCAAAUGUAGCAUUUCUUGCAAUAUCUACACAAAAUCAAUGUUACAAAGAACUGCUUGAACUGUAGUAAAUGUUGUAACAAACCAUGCUUCCAAGUUGGUUCUUUUCCAAAACAUCCAUGCAGGCAGAUGCAAUAUUUGUAACAAAUCACUGUUGUUACAAUGAAAAUAAUAAUAAUUUUUUUUAGCUUCACUUAGCAGGAUAAAUUACUCACUAUAUGGUAUAUAUGUUUGCAAAUAUCGCAAAGCCCUCAGUAAAACAUUUUUUUGCAAGCUUGUCAACAUUGUCAACAUUCUUACAUUACCUGAUAUUGCACAGCCCAAAUGCAGACACACAUGCACACGCCCCUCCACACACACACACACACACACGCACACCCACACACACACACGCACACACACACACACACACACACACACACACACACGCACACGCACACGCACCCACACACACAUGCACACAAGGAUAAUUUAGAGUGGCCAUUAGCCUAGCGUACACUGUAGGAAUAAGCUAAAGAACAUGGAGAGAACCUCUGCAGAGCAGUGGAGAAUAUAUGAACUACCAUAAUAAUAAUAAUAAUAAUAAUAAUAUACAAAAAUAUUUUUGCAAAAACGCUAUGACUGACAUUUUCAACGCAGGAUGUGUUUGCUGCUCUGCUCAGCAGCUUGUCACUUUCCAAACCACCAUACUUGGAGGAACCUUCUCUGGAAAUUCCCUCUAAAUUUAAAUCUUCUACAAAAACAUGUCGUCAUCAGCUGUUCUUUGCAGAAAAAUAACAUAUAUGUACAUGUUGUGGCAUCUCUUAUCAAACUAAAACGUGUUGCAGUAUUUUAUGUCAUGGAGUCUUUGAAGACCAAGUACAUUCUCAGAUCUUUUUCCACCAGAAAAGUGUCAAUGUGGAGAGCUGUUAUAGCUCUCCCAUAUUAUGAUGAAAUGCUCUGAGGCUGACUGCAGGGGGAGACAAAGAUCCUUGUGAACUCACCGGCUGUUGUUGCUCUGCCUCGGUUUUGUUUAUUCUGCAGUGUUUCCACACUUUAACUGUGACUAGUGAUGAUUGUGCUUUUUUGGAAUCUGGGGUUUGUUUUGCUCAUAGUUUGAUCACAGAGUUUAACAUGUCAAUUAAAAAAAGGAAAAUAAAAUCAUAAUUUUACUUUGGAAUUCUCUCUUAUGUUCUUGAGAGAAAAUAAGAGACAAUUUUGACCUAUUUUGGUUAUUAAUACAAACUCAAGUAGUCCAGUCAUUAGAUAUUGUUCCCUGUCUUUAACAUCUGCAGCAAAUUAUUAUAGUUAGAGCAUUUUCAACAGAACUGCAACGGUUUGACAAAUUUGACCACACUCCAUGCUUUGAUUCAACCAGCACUGACCAAAAUAUAAAAUAGUGAAACUGACAGGAAAGACCUCACUGAUUUGCUAAUUGUCACAUUCUUCUUUUUUAUUUUUAAAGGAACUUGUGGACAGUGAAUGUGGGGGCAGUUCAAUAUGCUGCAUGAGGGAACACAGAGAGUGAAGCAAAGGUCAUGUUCAACCAUUUGCUGAUCACAGUUAUGCUUAUGUUUGUUACUUUGGAAAUCACUUUCUGUGACCUCAGGCAUCUGUGUUUAUGUUUAAGUGACCCUAAAUCUGGGUGAAACCAGCAUCUGGAUCUGGAUACACUGAAGUAGUAGACACAAUACAUGUUUGAUGAACUUUUAAAGAUGACACUGCUGUUUUUGUUGUUUUUUUUUUUUUUUAAAUAAUUAGAACAAAAUAAGAAAAGAAAUGCCACAUAAGCUAAUUAAGGUUAAAAUUUCCAAUAUUUCACUCAUCUUCUGAUUCACAGUGUGCUAAUAAAAACUUACCACCUGUCAGCAACUGUUUAUUUUCAGCUGGAGCCUUAACAGGAAAUCUGAUUUUAGCUGUUUCACUCACUUCCAUGAUUUCAGUAAAAGGGAACUUUAAUGUCGCAACUUUGAGGUCUUUUAGAAAAAAGUAGCUCAAAGUCUAGUUUCACUUACUACAUGGACCUCGACCUGCGAAGCUGGAACCUGUCCCUCUAAGAUCAUGGAAUCGAACAUCACCUGCUCCCAGGAGAACUCCACUGAAUCCUGUUUGCAUCCCAGUUCCUCCACAAGUGUAGCCGUGGGCCUCUCACUCUUCGUUAUCUUCCUUGCCAUUGUAAUCGGAGUGCUUGUGUUCAUAUACUGGAGUAAAAUCAGAGCUUUGCUGGGAUCUGUACAGAGAAGAAACCAGGAGAAGGAGGUUUCUGUUGAAAGCCCACAAAGUGAUGAUAACCAGUACACCAGUAUGACCAGAGGACAUCUCCAGCCCCAGCCCCCGUCUCCAAUCUAUGAAAACCUGGGAAAUAAGAAGGCUCCGUUCAACAGGCCUGAUGCAGAACAGAGCAGGUUACCUGCUCAGAGUGAAGAGGACGUGUACAUUCAGUGUGAAGAGAUAGAUGACGGAAUAUACAGCAAUGACCCGGAGUUUAACCCCAAACCGCCUGAGCUCCACGAUGAAGACGUCUACCUCAUGCCUGACUCCUGAAGGGAAUGGAUGAAUGAAUUUAUUUUCACUAUAGUCAUGUACACUGAGAUUCUAGUCAGAAAGAGCUUCAAAGACAGUGUAAGAAAUACAAUAUAAAUACAGCAUUAUGGGGUAUUUAUGCUGCUGCGUUUGUUGACUUAUUGUAAAUAGAAAAGUUUGCGAACCACAAUUUGUCUAAGGUCUUUCCAUACUUUUUGUUGCCACAUGUAAUUGAUAGUUGCAGUAGGAACUAGAAGUUUACAUACACUGCAUAAAAGGAAUGGUCUGUCAAGAUGUCAAGAAGGGAAUUGUGGCUCUCCACAAGUCUGAUUCAUUGUGGUAACACUUUAUUUGAAGGAUUGUGCAUAAAAGUUACUGUUAUAAGCAUGAAAGAGUCUUUAUGAAUAUUUAUGACUGUUGUAAUAAAGUGUCAUUUGGUAAAUAAUGACACUGUUAAUGCAAAGUCGAUACUUUUAAUGGACUUUUAAUACAACUUUUAAUAGAACUUUGUGUAAAAGGGUCAUUAUUAACCAAAUAAUGCAAAGUUUACACUUUUAAUCAACUUUUAUUUACCGAAUGAUACUUCAUGACAACAGUUGUAAACAUUCAUGAAGACUCCUUCAUGUUUAUGACUGUUAAUGUGACAUGUUUACGACAGUGUCAUGUCAGUCUUAUGCACACUCCUUAAAAUAAAGCGUUAUCUUUAUUUACCACAUGCCCAAACUGAAGAUAAAGAAUGGAGCUCCAAAUUUGAAAAUGUGUUAAUGUGCUAAAGUAAUCGAAUCCAGUUUAUCAAAGUAAAUAUAUUACUUGUUUAUCUUAAGCAAAUGUAAAUAAAGUAAGCCAAGUUGAUUUGAUUUCAUGUAACAAAUUUACACAUUUGUUUUAGUGCAUGCUAGAAUGUGCCUCAUUCAAUUAAAACAAUUAAAGGCAAAUACAAACAGCAUAGAAAUGUCCUACCAUCAUAUCAUUUCAUACAUUAUCUGUCUCAGACAUAAAUAUAAUGUGUGAAAUGUACAAACUGGGGGCUGCACAGUGGAGCAGUUGGUAAAACUGUUGCUUUGCAACAAGAAGGUCCUGGUUAUGAUUCCCAGCCUAGGGUUUUUCUACAUGGAGUUUGCAUGUUUCUGACAGUUCAAAUCCAUGACUGUCAGGUAAAUUGAUCUCUCUAAAUUCUCCCUCGGUGUGAGUGUGUGUGCGUGGUUGUUUGCCAUUACUCUACAAGCAGCAAAAAUCACCAGAUUGCAGACCUUGACCACCUGAGGUCUGAUGGAACUUAAACAUAAUGUGUGUGGAUAUAAUGAUUGAUGUUACACCUCAUUUAACCUUCAGAGAGCUGAGGGCAGGAUAACAAGUGAUGUCUGUUCUUUACUCUGAUAUUCAUUUAUUUGUGUUGACAUUUAUUUUAUGGUUGGUCUUCCGAAUGCUCUAACUUCAUGGCAGCAUUUUUUGUGUAUUUGUCUUCUCACCAUGUUGUUUGCAGAUGUGCUUAGAGUGAACUCACCCAUUAAAGCGUAUUUUAAUACAACAA